rnacentral:rRNA from 1 species
AUUGAACGCUGGCGGCAUGCCUUACACAUGCAAGUCGAACGGCAGCACGGGAGCAAUCCUGGUGGCGAGUGGCGAACGGGUGAGUAAAGUAUCGGAACGUGCCCAGUCGUGGGGGAUAACGUAGCGAAAGUUACGCUAAUACCGCAUACGAUCUAUGGAUGAAAGCGGGGGAUCGCAAGACCUCGCGCGAUUGGAGCGGCCGAUAUCAGAUUAGGUAGUUGGUGGGGUAAAGGCUCACCAAGCCGACGAUCUGUAGCUGGUCUGAGAGGACGACCAGCCACACUGGUAAUGAGACACGGCCCAGACUCCUACGGGAGGCAGCAGUGGGGAAUGUUGGACAGUGGGCGCAAGCCUGAUCCAGCCAUGCCGCGUGCAGGAUGAAGGCCUUCGGGUUGUAAACUGCUUUUGUACGGAACGAAAAGGUUUGACUUAAUACGUUGGACUCAUGACGGUACCGUAAGAAUAAGCACCGGCUAACUACGUGCCAGCAGCCGCCGCCG